CAUUUGAAAUCAUUUGUUUUUCAUUCAGCCAUCAUUGUGAUUCAGAAAAAAUAUCAGAUACAUAUACUAAACAAAGCACAGUAUCAUUGCAACUUUAGUUAUCAUCUGCCUGUAUAUGUCAUUAUAAUUUAACUUUUGCUGGCACGUUUGAUCAUAUUACCGGAUUUGCUUACUAGUACUGCCCAAAAAUUCAUACACGGUGAUACUAGACAGGUGAUAAACAUGUAGUAUUUUCACUGGCCACAAGGUGUCAGCGUAUAUUCUAUUUUCAAGGCGAUGUGUGUUUGCGCAUGAACUCCAGGGUGCACAAUGCCUGAUGCCUCGGGUUUUCUGGGGUAGGCUUUCCGCGACCCCGCGUUCUACCAGCCGCGCGUUCAUGAAUAGCUGCUUGCUUAUUGUGUAUUAUUGCAUUCUAGGCUGAUUGCAGAGAUCUGUACACUACGAGAUAUUUUACUUAAAGAAUAUGUCACAGUUGUACUAUGAAACAUCACCUUUUCAUAUGUAUUUGGAUAUGUUACUGGCUAUUUUAUACAAAACAAAUCAUAAUAUGUAUACACAAUUUGCAUGUUUGUGGUAUGACUAAAAUAAAAAAUAUUUUUAUUUACUAAAAACAUCCCUCCGUGGUUUUCUGCAGUUCACGGACUGUGCAAUCUAAAAACAAAUCGUACCAUACGUAACAUUAAAACAUUUCAGCAAAUCCUGUAGGCCUACAUCGAAUAAUAGAAACCAGCGUCGCUUUGAAACACUUAUUUCCCUACCAUAGAUAGGAGAAAUGACCUAAAGAUUCGGUUUAACUGUAAUAACAAUAAAAUGUAUCUCGUAAAACGCGCUGUUUGCUCGAGUGCUACCGCGCUGGAACCGUCUGGGAUGCGCUGUACCGAAGCCCACAUAUAUAAACGACUGUGCGUUAAACUUUAUUUUCUCCUAUAAACUACACAAGAUCCACGGUUAGCCUUUGAAGACCAGUUUUGAUCCUGAUACCAACAAUGAUAUUGUUUGCAGAUGUGGACAUUGUCGCAACUGGAGGACGUUAGGGAGCCAAGGGCAACAAAAUCAUGGAACAUCACUCUGUGUUUCCUCCUCAGACCCAGUGCAAUAAAGCGGAGACAGAUCCAAUCUCCCAGGCGGGCUCCUUCAGCGAACUGCACGACGCACACAAGCUGGAGAGUGAAGCUUUAUGGAGGGUUAAUCUUCCGGUUAGAUCUUGCUGAUUGUUCCGGGCCGGUGUCAGGCCUGAGGUACGGUGACACACCGUGACAG